rnacentral:rRNA from 1 species
UACGUAGGGGGCUAGCGUUGUCCGGAAUCAUUGGGCGUAAAGCGCGUGUAGGCGGUCCGAUAAGUCCGCUGUGAAAGUCGGGGGCUCAACCCUCGGAUGCCGGUGGAUACUGUCGGGCUUGAGUACGGAAGAGGCGAGUGGAAUUCCUGGUGUAGCGGUGGAAUGCGCAGAUAUCAGGAGGAACACCAAUAGCGAAGGCAGCUCGCUGGGACGGUAUUGACGCUGAGGCGCGAAAGCGUGGGGAGCAAACAGG